rnacentral:rRNA from 1 species
AACGAACGUUAGCGGCGCGCUUAACACAUGCAAGUCGCACGAGAAAGGGCUUCGGCCCCGGUAAAGUGGCGCACGGGUGAGUAACACGUGGAUAACCUACCCUCGAGCAGGGGAUAACAUCCCGAAAGGGGUGCUAAUACCGCAUAAGACCACGGCUUCGAAAGGAGCUGAGGUAAAAGCUGGCCUCUAUAUAUAAGCUAGCGCUUGAGGACGGGUCCGCGGCGCAUCAGGUAGUUGGCGGGGUAAUGGCCCACCAAGCCUAAGACGCGUAGCUGGUCUGAGAGGAUGAUCAGCCACACUGGAACUGAGACACGGUCCAGACUCCUACGGGAGGCAGCAGUGGGGAAUCUUGCGCAAUGGACGAAAGUCUGACGCAGCGACGCCGCGUGUGUGAUGAAGGCCUCGGUCGUAAGCACUGUGGGAGGAGAAGAAU